GUGGCAAACUUCUACUCAUUCUCUUAAAAAUUGGACCUGCUGGCUUCAAGUCCACAAAAUGAAAGGCUCAGUUUAAAAAAAUAUUGGCUACUGAACAUAGCACAUGGAUCUUAGAAGCAUAACGCUGAGCGAAAGAAGCCAGAACCAGAGGACACAGUGGGACUGACUGCUGAUAGUUUUCAGUGAUUAACCAGCUGCGUUUGUUGUUGUCAUCAAAAUGGUCAUGGAAGAAACAUUCCAC